ACAGAUCAAGAUACUUAUUUGAAAGAUCACUGAUACCAAAACAGUGAUCUCUGUCAUUUAUGAACAAAAGUCUCGGCGUGCUUCCUUGAUGAGGACGUGCAAUAUCAUUUUCAUUCAACUGUUUAACGUUCA
ensembl:ncRNA B0410.4 ncRNA